rnacentral:snoRNA from 1 species
UGCCAUGAUGAGCCAUUUUAUAUUUUGUAUUCACACUGUCUGAAUUUCUUGAAGAUAUACUGAAACUCUGAGCAAAGCCUGAUU